GCACAAACAUUAAUCCAUCAUUUAUAUCAUCAUCUGUAUCAAAUUAGGUAUGAAGCCACGAUGCAGUACCUAGGCCAAGCUCUUAUGUGAGGAAGGAUGUUGAGGCAUGAGCAUCAAUCACUCCUCUGAAACCUUGAAAAAUGUAUAGGAUAGAAUUAUGUUGUUAAUCCCAUCCAUUCUAGGAUCAGUUUCGAAUUCUGGGUCAAUAUAAAAGAAUACAGGCAUAUCAAUCUGCUCCCCAGGAAGAAGACGCUGCUCCUCAAAGCAAAAGCAUUGUAUUUUAUUGAAGUACACUGCAGCCUUCAUAGGGGUCACAUUAUACGUAGAUACACCAGUUAUUGGAGUUGAACUUCGAUUCUCAGCAGUGUAAAAUGCAAGAGCACUUUCUCCUGGUUUUACC
rnacentral:misc_RNA from 1 species